rnacentral:lncRNA from 1 species
CUGGUGGGUGUGGAGUCUCCCUGUGUCUGUGGCUGUCAGGAGUUUGGCUCCUAGCACCUCACCUGUCUCCUCUGACAUCCACCUGGUCAGCCCAGGGAGGAGAAACCUGCCUGCUGCCUGUGUUUGCCAGUGGUUGUUGAGACUUCUAGAAGACGUCUAG